CAGAAUUGUGAGGGUAUUGUGGGAUUCAUAGACUUGAAUUCUUGUCUUCCUGAACAAGUAACGGAGAAUACAUGUGCAUCACCGGAUCAAGGCUUAGACUUUUUGCACCAAGUCGAGGUGAUACACAAGAAUUUUCUGAUUUGAAUAAGCUAGCUAAACGUUUCCUCAAGGGCAGCCACAAAGCCCAAGAAGGGGAAGCUAAAGAUGGGCCUUCGCUAGCUUAUGUUCAAGAGGUUGUGGAAGAGCUGCGUAAAGGGGAACAAGGAGAGUGUCCAAUAUGCCUUGAAGCAUUUGAAGAUGCAGUAUUGACACCUUGUGCUCACCGCUUAUGGCGGGUAGGUGAAUAGAAGUACCAUGCAUCACACCCAUUCUUCAAUAGGAAAAGUUUGAGAAAAAUUUGAAGAAUCAUACAUGUUUCUUGGUGCAGCUGUGAGGGAGAAGGUUUGUGCCAAUUGAUGUAUGCUUUUAGGUCGUAGUUUGGAGAGGGAGGGAACUUAGUUUUCAAGCUAACGUGGGGUGUAUUUUGGGGGCCGUAAAACUGGCAGCGGAAAGAGCGAAUUUUAGCUAGGGUUGCAAAAAUAACGUAAAGUUUAUUUUGGCAAACAUCACAAAAUUACCCUAGGGUGGGUCUAGUGUGUUACAUUAAUUCUCGCCAUUUUGUGACUAGAAAAGUCCGUACUUGAAUGUGAAUAUGGAAAGAUCCAUCAAUUUAAUAUUGGCCGUAUAUGUUCAUAUUGAAUUCACACCAGGAACUAGUGCUUCAUAGGGCAGUUAAUUUCAUAAACUUAGCUGCAGUUGUUUGGUGGGUUAUCCUUAAUUUUGUUUUCCUCUUCUAUUUGUCACUUGAGGUGGUGAUUAUGAAUUUAGUUUGGCCUAUAAAUAUCCUUGUAUUCAUAGGAUAACAUGCUAAACGCUCUGGAUGCAGGAAAUUGUAGAAAUUCGUGAGAAAGCCAAGCCUCACAUCUGGACUUUACGGACCCCAGAACAAGCAUCAUCUCACUGGAAAGAAUUAUUUGGACAUUUUGAUGAAAUGGACUGACAGAGAUGCAAUUUCAACCAUACACUGAACAUCUGGUGAUUCGGGAACAAAAGUAUUUAGACAACGAAUGUGGAGUAAACUCAAUUGAUUGAAUGUGCCAAAGAAAGGGAGAGACUGAUUCAUUUUUGUAGUUCUUUUUUCACUUGUUUCUUCAGAAAUGACUUUUGAAUUAACAAACAGAAAAGAUGAAUGGAAUAAAUAAUUUCACGCUU